rnacentral:tRNA from 1 species
GCGCGAAUGGCGGAAUUGGUAGACGCGCUGGAUUUAGGUUCCAGUGCCUGCGGGCGUGGGGGUUCGAGUCCCCCUUCGCGCA